GACAGAGGGUGCAAACGUUGUUCGGAAUUACUGGGCGUAAAGCGUGCGUAGACGGUUAUUUAAGUCGGAUGUGAAAGCCCCGGGCUCAACCUGGGAAUUGCAUUCGAGACUGAAUAGCUAGGGUGCGGUAGAGGGAAGCGGAAUUUCCGGUGUAGCGGUGAAAUGCGUAGAUAUCGGAAGGAACAUCAGUGGCGAAAGCGGCUUCCUGGACCAGCACCGACGUUCAGGCACGAAAGCGUGGGGAGCAAACAGG
rnacentral:rRNA from 1 species